rnacentral:lncRNA from 1 species
AGCCUGAUGAUGUCCCACCACGAUGCAACGGCUCUCCUGGCUGGGGCUAGUGGAAGCAGUUUUGAUGGAAGUUAAGGAUUUGCAACUUAGAGGAUUUCUGGGAUAAUUCUCUUAAAGUAGUGACUUCACCAACAGGAAUUCCAGGCCCCCUGGUGUGCCAGCUCAAGGGAUAAGCAGAGUAUGUCGGGUUCCCAGGUGCCAAUGAACAGAGAAAUAGCCAAAGGGCUCGCUGAGUGGGAGCAGAGGUAAAUGGGCCUGGAUAAUUGGAAAACUGGAUAGUCACGAGGUUAACUAUGCCACAGGCAAGAAUCCAGAUGGUUCCAACCUACCUCAGCCAGUAUGACGUGAAACAAGGUCCCAGCUUGAACACUCUGAGUUUUGAACAGAUAUGUCUGAGAGGACAUCUGCCAGAAGCCUAUUUGCAUGAGGAACUUAGAAACCUCCAGGAGAAAGCUCAGACUGAAGGAAAGAGGAGUCGGCUUGCCAACUGCAAGGCACCAGACAAUAAAUAAUGCCUUAGUGGUCAAUGGAAAG